CUGAGUUGUUGAAGCGGGCUGCUGCUGGCUCCUUUCGGGGGCAUGUGCGCGCUUGUUCACAUUUCAUCCUUCACACUUGUGCACCAUCUGUAGUUCCGAGCCGAUUAUCAGAGGCGCUCGCUCGCCUCAAAAGCUCGGUUCUAUGUUAUUUCAAUGACUUAGUUCGAUAGAAUGUGUUCACAGGCGUGUACAACGUCUGAUAAUAAUAUAUA
rnacentral:misc_RNA from 1 species